UACGUAGGCAGCGAGCGUUGUUCGGAAUUACUGGGCGUAAAGAGUGUGUAGGCGGUGCUCUAAGUUCGGUGUGAAAUCUCCUGGCUCAACUGGGAGGGUGCGCCGGAAACUGGAGUGCUUGAGCGUGGGGAGAGGAAAGCGGAAUUCCUGGUGUAGCGGUGAAAUGCGUAGAUAUCAGGAGGAACACCUGUGGUGUAGACGGCUUUCUGGACCAUAGCU
rnacentral:rRNA from 1 species